GGGCCGGUGGGGCAAUGGUAGCGCAUCCUUCUAGUAUAGAACAGGUUGUAGGUUCGAUUCCUAGCCAUUCCA